rnacentral:rRNA from 1 species
AUUGAACGCUGGCGGCAUGCUUUACACAUGCAAGUCGAACGGUAACAGGGUGCUUGCACCGCUGACGAGUGGCGAACGGGUGAGUAAUACAUCGGAACGUGCCCAAUCGUGGGGGAUAACGUAGCGAAAGCUACGCUAAUACCGCAUACGAUCUAAGGAUGAAAGAGGGGGAUCGCCAGACCUCGCGCGAAUGGAGCGGCCGAUGGCAGAUUAGGUAGUUGGUAGGGUAACGGCCUACCAAGCCGACGAUCUGUAGCUGGUCUGAGAGGAUGAUCAGCCACACUGGGACUGAGACACGGCCCAGACUCCUACGGGAGGCAGCAGUGGGGAAUUUUGGGCAAUGGACGAAAGUCUGAUCCAGCCAUGCCGCGUGCAGGAUGAAGGCCCUCGGGUUGUAAACUGCUGUUGUACAGAACGAAAAGGCACUGGUUAAUCCCUGGGGCUCAUGACGGUACUGUAAGAAUAAGCACCGGCUAACUACGUGCCAGCCGCCGCGGUAA